AGGAUCACCUCCAUCACCUGACUAUAAGGUUUGUGCCACGUAUAUGGAUGGGUUCAGGGCGACGGCAGUUUGUCCUGUUGGUGGUCCGAGAGCUGUGGAAAAAGCCAGAAGAACAGCAGAAAGCAUUAUUAAAAGGACUCAGCGAAUUUUCAAACAGCUUGGUUUAGAGGACUAUGCUGAAGUCAACAUUCAAGUUCUGGGUGCUGAGGACACAUAUGGACCACAUGCGGUCGAUACAGUAGGCUGUCUGUUUCUGUUUUUGUUGAAUAUUGUUUUUAACAAUUAAUAAACUGUCCGUUUACAUUUAGAACAAAUAACCUGCAGCUUUUGAGUCUGUUUUUUACUGUGCA